rnacentral:tRNA from 1 species
ACCUAGGUGGCUCAGUGGUUGAGCGUCUGUCUCUGGCUCAGGUCGUGAUCCUGAGGUCCCGGGAUGGAAUCCCGCCUCGGGUU